rnacentral:rRNA from 1 species
GUCGAGCGGAUGAAGGGAGCUUGCUCCUGGAUUCAGCGGCGGACGGGUGAGUAAUGCCUAGGAAUCUGCCUGGUAGUGGGGGAUAACGUCCGGAAACGGGCGCUAAUACCGCAUACGUCCUGAGGGAGAAAGUGGGGGAUCUUCGGACCUCACGCUAUCAGAUGAGCCUAGGUCGGAUUAGCUAGUUGGUGGGGUAAAGGCCUACCAAGGCGACGAUCCGUAACUGGUCUGAGAGGAUGAUCAGUCACACUGGAACUGAGACACGGUCCAGACUCCUACGGGAGGCAGCAGUGGGGAAUAUUGGACAAUGGGCGAAAGCCUGAUCCAGCCAUGCCGCGUGUGUGAAGAAGGUCUUCGGAUUGUAAAGCACUUUAAGUUGGGAGGAAGGGCAGUAAGUUAAUACCUUGCUGUUUUGACGUUACCAACAGAAUAAGCACCGGCUAACUUCGUGCCAGCAGCCGCGGUAAUACGAAGGGUGCAAGCGUUAAUCGGAAUUACUGGGCGUAAAGCGCGCGUAGGUGGUUCAGCAAGUUGGAUGUGAAAUCCCCGGGCUCAACCUGGGAACUGCAUCCAAAACUACUGAGCUAGAGUACGGUAGAGGGUGGUGGAAUUUCCUGUGUAGCGGUGAAAUGCGUAGAUAUAGGAAGGAACACCAGUGGCGAAGGCGACCACCUGGACUGAUACUGACACUGAGGUGCGAAAGCGUGGGGAGCAAACAGGAUUAGAUACCCUGGUAGUCCACGCCGUAAACGAUGUCGACUAGCCGUUGGGAUCCUUGAGAUCUUAGUGGCGCAGCUAACGCGAUAAGUCGACCGCCUGGGGAGUACGGCCGCAAGGUUAAAACUCAAAUGAAUUUGACGGGGGCCCGCACAAGCGGUG